rnacentral:rRNA from 1 species
GUGCGCCUUAUGCAUGCAAGUCGAGCGAAGCUUUUCAGUAGUUUACUACAGAAAAUGACUGAGCGGCGAACGGGUGAGUAACGCGUGAGCAAUCUACCUUAGUUACAGGGAUAGCCCGAGGAAACUCGGAUUAAUACCUGAUAUUCUUUAUAUUUCGCAUGAAAUUAAAAGGAAAGGUCAGCCGAACUAAGAUGAGCUCGCGUUCUAUCAGCUAGUUGGUGAGGUAAAAGCUCACCAAGGCUACGACGGAUAGCUGGUCUGAGAGGACGAUCAGCCACACUGGGACUGAGACACGGCCCAGACUCCUACGGGAGGCUGCAGCAGGGAAUAUUGCGCAAUGAGCGAAAGCUUGACGCAGCGACACCGCGUGUGGGAUGACGGAUCUAGGUUUGUAAACCACUUUCAGGAGGGAAGAAAAUGACGGUACCUCC